rnacentral:rRNA from 1 species
GGGACAUGUGUGGCAGGUGCGGGGGUAAGACGAAGGGGUGAAGGGUGAAUCGGGAUUACUGGGCGUAAAGCGGGCGUAGGGGGUUCGUUAAGGCUGGUGGGAAAUCCCCGGGCUCAACCUGGGAAUGGCAGUGGAUACUGGGGAGCUAGAGUGUGAUAGAGGAUGGUGGAAUUCCCGGUGUAGCGGUGAAAUGCGUAGAGAUCUGGAGGAACAUCAGUGGCGAAGGCGGCCAUCUGGAUCAACACUGACGCUGAGGCACGAAAGCGUGGGGAGCAAACAGGAUUAGAUACCCCAGUAGUC